rnacentral:rRNA from 1 species
GAUGAACGCUGGCGGCGGGCCUAAUACAUGCAAGUCGAGCGGACAGACGAGGGGCUUGCUCCUCUGACGGUAGCGGCGGACGGGUGAGUAACAAAUGGAUAACCUACCUAUAAGACAGGGAUGACUACGGGAAACCGGAGCUAACAAAGGACAAUAGAUUGCACCGCCUGGUUCAAUAGGAAAAGACGGGUUUGCUGCGACCUGUAGAUGGGUCCGCGCUGCGUUAGCUAGUUGGUAAGGUAACGGCUUACCAAGGCAACGAUGCGUAGGCGACGUGAGAGGGUGAUCGGCCACCCUGGAUCUGAGACGCGGUACAGACUCCAACGCGAGGCAGCAGUAGGGAAUCUUCUGCAAUGGGCGAAAGCCUGACGGAGCAACGCCGCGUGAGUGAUGAAGGUCUUCGGAUCGUAAAACUCUGUUAUUAGGGAAGAACAAAUGUGUAAGUAACUAUGCACGUAUUGACGGUACCUAAUCAGAAAGCCACGGCUAACUACGUG